AGUGGGGGAGCUGCCUGUAAGAGAGAACAGGGCCCAGCUGGUACUUUUUUCUCUGUGGGGUUUGGCUUGUACCUGCCCUUUGAGAUAGGGAAAUGUUGUGAGAGCACAGAUGUUUAGUUCUUUGGUGAAAACCUUCAGAAAAUAUGAUUCUGCUCAGCCUGAAGUUGAAUUGCCCGUUCUGAGGGGAAAAGUGCUCACGUUGUCUGGCUUUGGUUGCUUCCCAUGUUUCUUGAGGCUGGAGAGCUGGAAGUGCUGCUGGAGAUAACUGCUGUUAAUGCCCCGACAUGAUAAGCUGCUGGUUUCUAAAUCCCCUUCACUUUGUCAGCACCCUUCUGCCUCAUGGAAUGGAGAGCUGCCAGACUGGUGUAUCAUCUCCCUGGGGCCUGCUGCCCACAUACCAGACUGCACUAUCAUUCUGGAAAGGCAACUGCAGGACCUCCUAUAUUACUGUUCAGCUCCCCUGCAUCUGGCAAGUGUCAUUCUUUGGGAUUAAAAAGUAAAUUAUUUUCCAUCGUUUCUAGUGCUUAAAAAUAAUGCAUCUUUUCUCCUCAUCUGGGGACUUCCAUCACUAACAGGAGCAUAACUUUAAAAGCUUUUUUAACUGUCUGCUGGUGUAAGAACUCUGUAUAGCACUGUUAAGCCAAAAGACACUUCUUUAUAGCAAUAUUAAAGGUGAAUUUAUAGGUAUGUUUUAGAAUCUGCUCCUCUAAAAUUCUUUGUGCUCUAG